ACAUGCUGUGUAUUUUAUUUAUUGAUUGAUGUCUAGGAAGAAUGAUAUUAGUGAUGUUGAAACAAGAAAAAGUUUUUCUUCUGUGCAUCUCAUGCCUCCCAUUUUAAAUAGUUUCCAUGAUGGAAAUACUACACGUUCCAUACUCCCAUUUCUCUGAUAGACUCAGUCAAUAUGUAACAGGUGAGCCUUGCCAUGAUUAAUACCUUUAGUACUUUAAGCAUUUUCUCUACAUGAUAGUACUUGGAAUGGUUGGUGGGUUUGUUUUUUUUUUUCAUUUUGAGAACAUAAAGCAAAACUCUGAUGUAUUGAUACUUCCACUGACAGCAAAUAUUUUGUUUUCAAAAUCCUUUUACUUUUUCUCUGAGUUACAUUGGAAUAGAAAAUUUUUAUACUUGCUAAAGUAACACAGAGUUAUUUUAAAAAUCAAAAAAUCAAUCUCUUUAUUUGGCAAAGAAAUAUUUCUAAGCAUACAAUAACUAGGACUCAGUUUAAAUAUAUUAUGUUAUUUGUAUUUUCCAUGUCACUUGGCUUUGUCUCCAGAGGAUUUGACAUUAGAAAAUUCCAUGAACCCUUAAAGUAUCUUAUUAUAAAGAAAUACCUGAUAAUCAAGACGAUUUCCUCCAUUUCAGCUUUUAUCAUUAGCGUAUGUUAAAGU
rnacentral:lncRNA from 1 species